rnacentral:misc_RNA from 1 species
CAACCCUCAAGCCCUGGUUGCUUGGUGUUGGGACCUCUACGGUUGACCGUAGGUCCUGAAAAACAGUGGCGGGCUUGCUGUGAACCCGAGCGUAGUACAACAAUUCUCGCUUAGGGGCUCAUAGCGGGUAUCAGCCGUAAAACCCACUAUAUUUUUACAAGG